AACCGCGAAAAGUUCGUUCUUUAUCGAAAGAAGCCGUAACAAACGCUUCGAGUCGGAAGACGGCCCAAAGGGACCUAAGACAUGACUCGAAGCCCAACUUACGAUUUCUUAACCAACAUCCCGUAAGCCGCAUGACGAUUUACGCUUGGUUCGCAAUAAAUACGAAAUUUUGAAGAAAAUUACGAAGAUCGGAAAAAAAUGGAAUAUCUCCAUUUUUAUACUA
rnacentral:lncRNA from 1 species